CUCAACUUCACAAGGCUAAAAGUGCUCGUAGUUGAAGAAUGGCCCAUCUACCAAGCCAGGUCAGAGGUCAUGGAGAGCUCUCGAGGGGAACUGGAUUCCUGGUGGAUUAAAACAACUGAUUCCUGAGUUUUUCUAUUUUAUGUGUAAAUUCUCUGUAAAGUAAUUUUCUUUGUAUGCAGGAGAGAUUUUCUGUCUUAAAAUGCUUGAUUAACAAUGUGGAAAUAUCAAACCAAUACGAAUGUAAUGUGAAACCUGAAUAUUAGCCUGUAGGUAAUUAAUGCGCCACUCAUCAAUAAAGACACACAGAACUUGUUUGACGAGCUCUUAUAUUGGGGAUGCAGAAUGUUUUCAUUGCUUACAGAUUUAAUUGACGCAGACACAAAUGAUAAUUUUACCAACAAAAAUAUGAACACAUUUCCUUUACUAAAUGCCUUAUAAAGAUGACUGGCUGCUUUAUUUUUAAUCCUAUAUUGUAUUAAGCCGUUCAAUAAGUUUUAAAUUAUGAGUAUUUCUGUUGCUGAAUGAAAACGCAAUGAGCGGAUGUAAAAAAUCUUGUGAAUUCUGCAAGAGGCAGAUUUGGUCAGUCUUUCUCCAAUAGUAUCUGCAUGCAGACUUGGAUUUGCAAGCUGAGACUGCAUAUAUCAGACUUACAAUGUCAGACGCUGCACUCAAUGAAGCAAAUGACGUCAUUGUGAGGGGCGGGGUUUGUAUGUGCAUUAAAGCGCAGAUCCCAUUCGCUCCACUAGGCGGCAUCAGCGAGCUGCUCUUUUAGUCUGAACAACUUUGACAACAACGACACCAGAUCAGCCUAGGUACACGGUUUUACUGGCGUCAAGUUGAGCUCCAGUAGCAGAUGACAGCUCAGUGCCAGACUCAUAAUGUCAGUCAACAGCAGAUAUUACAGCCCGACAGCGAAGAAAAGCCACACCAAGUGCAGAAAUGGAGAGUAACGCGACUCACCUCAGUGAAGAUACACACGUGUGUUUGUUGUGUUUCUGCAGCAGAUCUUUGACCUGCGCUCAACAGCUGAUGCUCCUCCACACACUCCUCCACAUCCAGGCGGAUUCACAGCUCCAGUAAAGCUCACACACAGGUCAGCAGUCCAACAUCAGUUCCAGCAAGUGUUCAGACAAGGAGAUCUGUGGCUCUGUGGUAAGAGCGCUGCCCCA